GGCAGCAAAAGGCGCACAUCGGCUUUGGCUUUGGAAAUGAUUGCGUUAUUUGUUCUGGUUUGCGUCUCGGUCGAUCGCGUUGCCUGUCAGAUCCGCUAUUCGGUGCCCGAGGAGCAGGAGCAUGGCACGUUCGUGGGGAAUAUCGCCGAGGAUUUGGGAUUAGACGUGACUAAACUUUCCGCCCGGAGGUUCCAGACGGUGCCGAGCUCCAGGACUCCCUACUUGGAGGUGAACCUGGAGAACGGGGUCCUGUUCGUCAACGAGCAGAUCGACCGGGAGCGCAUCUGCAAGCAGAACCCCAUCUGCCUGCUGCAUCUGGAAGUUUUCUUGGAAAACCCGCUGGAACUUUUCCGGGUCGAGAUCGAAGUGGUGGAUAUUAACGACAACCCGCCGGGCUUCCCGGAGGCGGACAUCACGGUGGAGAUCUCCGAGAGCGCCUCUCCGGGGACGCGUCUGCCGCUGGAGAGCGCCUUCGACCCGGACGUGGGCAGCAAUUCGCUGCGCACGUACGAGAUCACCCCCAACAGUUACUUUUUCCUCGACGUGCAGACCCCGGGAGACGGCAACAAGUUCGCCGAGCUGGUGCUGGAGAAAGCCCUGGACCGGGAGCAGCAGGCGGUGCACCGGUACGUGCUGACGGCGGUGGACGGGGGGGCGCCCCAGAGGACCGGCACCGCUCUGCUGACCAUCAAAGUGCUGGACUCCAACGACAACGUGCCGGUGUUCGAGCAGUCCAUCUACACGGUCAGCCUGCCCGAGAACAGCCCGGCCGGGACCCUGGUCCUCCAGCUCAACGCCACCGACCGCGACGAGGGCAAGAACGGGGAGAUCCUCUACUCGUUCAGCAACCACGUCUCGCCCCGGGUCAAGGAGCUGUUCAGCAUCGAGCCCCGGACGGGCCGGAUCGAGGUGAGCGGGGACAUCGACUACGAGGAGAGCAGCCUGUACCAGAUCUAUGUGCAAGCCAAGGACCUGGGGCCCAACGCCGUGCCGGCUCACUGCAAGGUGCUGGUCAAGGUGCUGGACGCCAACGACAACGCGCCCGAGAUCAGCUUCAGCACCGUGUCCGACUCGGUGAACGAGAGCUCGUCCACCGGCACCGUGGUGGCCCUGCUCAGCGUGGCCGACCGCGACUCGGGCGAGAACGGCCAACUGCGCUGCGAGAUCGUGGGCCGAGUGCCCUUCCAGCUCAAGUCGUCCUUCAAGAACUACUACACGGUGGUGACCGACGGGCCGCUGGACCGGGAGAGCGCCGACUCCUACACCAUCACCAUCGCGGCCAAGGACCGGGGCUCCCCGGCCCUGGCCUCCAGCAAGUCCAUCACCGUGCAGGUGGCCGACGAGAACGACAACUCGCCCCGUUUCUCCCGGGCGUCGUACGACGUGUACGUGACCGAGAACAACGUGCCCGGGGCGUACAUCUACGCCGUGAGCGCGGCGGACCCGGACGUGGGCCAGAACGCCUACAUCUCCUACUCCAUCUUGGAGUGCGACAUCCAGGGCAUGUCGGUCUUCACCUACGUGUCCAUCAACUCGGAGAACGGCUACCUCUACGCCCUGCGCUCCUUCGACUACGAGCAGCUCAAGGAGUUCGGCUUCACGGUCCAGGCCCGGGACGCGGGCAGCCCGCCCCGGGCCGCCAACGCCAGCGUCAACAUCGUGGUGGUGGACCAGAACGACAACGCGCCCUCCAUCGUGUCGCCCGCGCUCAGGAACGGCAGCGCCAAGGAACUGGUGCCCCGCGCGGCCGAGCCGGGCUACCUGCUCACCCGCCUGGUGGCGGUGGACGCCGACGACGGGGACAACGCCAGGCUGACCUACUACAUCGCCAAGGGCAACGAGCUGGGGCUCUUCCGCAUGGACUGGCGGACCGGGGAGCUCAAGACCGUGCGGAGGCUGCCCGCCCGCAAGAAGGACGCCGGCGCCGCCCCUUACGAGCUCCUGAUCGAGGUGAGGGACCACGGGCAGCCUCCGCUCUCGGCCACCACCACCGUCCUGGUGGUGGCCGUGGACAGCCCGGUGGACCGCCCGGGGGGGGAGAGGCGCAACCGAGCCGGGAGCCCGAAGGAAAACUCCUUGGAUCUGACCCUGAUCCUGAUCAUCGCGCUGGGCUCGGUGUCCUUCGUGUUCCUCCUGGCCAUGAUCGUGCUGGCCAUCCGGUGCCAGAAGGACAAGAAGCUGAACCUGUACGGCUGCCUGGCCGGGGAGUGCUGCUCCUGCUGCAGACAGGCCAGGAACAGGAAGAAGAAGCUCAGCAAGUCGGACAUCAUGUUGGUCCAGACCAACAACUCCAACGCGGCGCAGGUCUCCACGGACGAAGGGGCCUUCGGACACCACAGUCAGAAUUACUGCUACCAAGUGUGUCUGACCCCGGAGUCGGCCAAAACCGACCUCAUGUUCUUGAAGCCGUGCAGCCCGGCCAGGAGCACGGACACCGACCACAACCCCUGCGGGGCUCUCGUCACGGGGUACACUGACCAGCAGCCGGACAUCAUUUCCAAUGGGAGUAUAUUAUCAAACGAGGCAAAACACCAGCGAACCGAGCUCAGCUAUCUGGUCGACAGACCCCGUCGAGUUAACAGUUCUGCUUUCCAGGAAGCGGACAUAGUGAGCUCCAAGGACAGUGGCCACGGCGACAGCGAACAGGGGGACAGCGACCACGACGCCACCAACAGAGCUCACUCCACGGGUGCUGAUCUCUUUUCCAAUUGCACAGAAGAGUGUAAAGCUCUGGGGCACUCAGACCGAUGUUGGAUGCCAACCUUUGUGCCUACAGAUGGUCGCCAAGGCUCUGAUUACCGCAGCAAUCUGCAUGUCCCCGGCAUGGACUCUGUGCCUGACACUGAGGUCUACGAAGCUCCAGAGCAGACUGGGGAGAAAUCCUUCUCGACAUUUGGAAAAGAAAAGUCACAUCCAUCCAAUUUGGACAGGAAAGAAUAUGAUGCGCUUCUGACCAGUACACGUGCACCUUACAAGCCACCAUAUCUAACAAGGAAGAGAAUUUGCUAGUCCCUUCUGUUGUUGCAGCAUGAUUUUGCACAAGCCAACGACCUAAAAGAAAAUCAAAAAGAAGCAUCAACUUUCCACUCCGUCAUCCUGGCCGUCGAUUUGUGUGUAAUGUAAUCGAUUCCUAUAAUAUUGGAGACAAUUUUGCUAAUAAUGGGAUCAUAUGCUCUCAGCAGGUCUGAGAAUGAUGCGAUUUGGAGACUUUGGAGGUGACUGGUGUGGUCACUUCUCCGACCUGUGUGUGCCUGUUUACAGCACUCAGACUUUCACUGAGCUCUGAGCUCUUUAAUCACCGACCGCCACAGGUCGGGCACCAAGAGAAGCCAACUGUACAGAAAACAAUCAGACGUGCAUUAUAAAUGCAAUAUCACUGUUUUAGAUGUGACUGUUUUUCUAUUUUUUUUGUGAUGGAGUGUCCCCCAGAUUAAGCCAUCGUGACUGUGUCCCUUAUGCACAGCGUGUCUUUCUGGUGGUCAGCCACGGGACCCACCAUUAUCAAAGCUCUGCAGUUCAACAAUAUUCUGUAGUUUAUACAGUGUUACUUGCAAAACGUGUUUACUGUACUCUUUCAAAACUUCUAAAUAAAAAGAAAUGUACUCUUUUUUUCUUCCUGAAGUGGUGGUGUUCAGUGAAGGGAUAACUUGUGAUUUGCAAAUAUCUGAAAUCCCAUGUUUGUUGACAGCUUCCGUUCUUUCCCUUUCACUCUCAAGACCAAUUCAGAACCGAGAAAGAGAAAUCGAGAGGGCUGAUGUCCGUUAACACUUAAAAGACCCACGUAAAUUUGAACACUCGUAGCCUGUUUCUUAAUCCUGGCAUUAAAUCAUUUUGAGCUAGUCUAUGUGCUGGGUAUUUUCUCAUCUUGAGUAAUUGAUCUGGAUCCCAAGAGGAACCAGAGAUUCCUUUGGUAGACAGCACCGAAGAUUGUUUUCCUUUAUCUCAUGGAUAUAGCCUAUAGAUCCCUCUUGUGAUGUCUUUUUCACUUCCACUCGGGGGAAAAGGAUGGUUAUUGUUUGGGGGGAGGGGGAGGUGGGUGGAAGGGGUCCAGUUGUUUAGUCAAAUACACUUGAAUGCAAAUCUGGUGAUAUUGCAUCCUGACAAAGUCCUGGUAUAAAUAGAACAGGGUAAAACUAGAGGUGAGGGAGUGUUACAAGGGCGUAACACAUUUGAGCUCAUCUAUUGAUAUUUUAUACACCACAUGAGUGGUUAAGACAUCACUAUCUUGAUCGAGUCACUGCUCUGCUCGGAGUGACACUUUAAGCCAGCUUUUAUAUUACAUCAGGGUCACUCUUUUUUGCUGUUCAAUGAAUUCUUGAAACCAAUCCUUAUUUUAAGCUUCCAAAUUUAACUUUUUUAAAAUCAAAAUAGAAAAUGACAAGUUAAGGUGACGAAUUGCAGAGAACAGACUUUUUUUAAAAAUAAAAUAUUACGUACAAAAUUAAUGUUGUAUUUUCUCACAUUGUUAAAUCAGUUCAUUGUCAAGAAAAAAACUGUAAUACAUUAUUAUUCUAUCUAUACUGUAGUAGUUUAUACGUGCUUAAAUUAGUCAGCAAAAUUUUAAAACACUAAAUAAAUAGUAUGCUACACUGCAAUCAUUUGGGUUAAAUCAACAAAUCGUACAAAAUAACAAUGCAAAUGUUUAUUAUCAUGGAUUAAAGUGCUGUUCAUUAAAAGUCCCGUGAAUGCUUUUUGUCUCUGUAUUAAUGGUAAAAUGCCAUGGGAUUAGUUAUGUUAGUGACAUAGUGAGGUUGGAGCGUGCGUUAGUGGCAGUGUGUUGUUGCAGUGUACAUAUCAGUGACCGUGUGAACUUUCAAUGUGUAUAUUAGAGACAGUGUGAGCCUGGAGGUGUGUGUUGCUGUUAGUAUGAGGCUGGAGUGUGUGUAUUAGAGACAGCGAGAGGUUGGAAUGUAUGCUCUGUUCACCAUUUAUUGGUGACAGGCGUAGGUGACUGCACUUAUAUGUUUUGUGAUUCUGCAUCUAACAUGAAUAAUAACCCAUAUUAUUAUUAAAAAUAAAAACUGGUGCUUAGAUAUUG